GAUGAACGCUGGCUGCGUGCUUAACACAUGCAAGUCGAACGGAAAGGCUCCUGCUUGCAGGGGUACUCGAGUGGCGAACGUGUGAGUAACACGUGGGUGAUCUGCCCUGCACUUCGGGAUAAGCCUGGGAAACUGGGUCUAAUACCGGAUAGGACCACAUUUUGGAUGGUGUGGUGGAAAGUUUUUCGGUGUGGGAUGAGCUCGCGGCCUAUCAGCUUGUUGGUGGGGUAAUGGCCUACCAAGGCGUCGACGGGUAGCCGGCCUGAGAGGGUGUACGGCCACAUUGGGACUGAGAUACGACCCAGACUACCACGGGAGGCAGAAGUGGGGAAUAUUGCACAAUGGGCGCAAGACUGAUGCAGCGACGCCGCGUGGGGGAUGACGGCAUUAGGGUUGUAAACUCCUUUCGCUAGGGACGAAGCGUUUUUGUGAAGGUAACUGGAGAAGAAGCACCGGCUAACUACGUG
rnacentral:rRNA from 1 species